rnacentral:lncRNA from 1 species
UUCAAUCCCUUUUUUCACCUUAUUUCUCAAAAACAUCAAAUAUAGAUUUGUAGUUGUUCUUCUAUAAUUUAUUCCUUUUUUUUUUUUCUCGAUCCUACACUUCUCUUAAAAUAUUUUUAAAUUACAAGUUAUUUCUAAUGUCACACACCUAACAUGAGAGCUCUAUCUCAACAACUCAACUCCACAUGAACAAUACGAUAAUAUUAUACCAAAUAGAUCUAUUU